CAAUAGCGUAUAUUAAUGUUGUUGCAGUUAAAAGCUCGUAUUUGGACUUCUGCCCGGAGCGUCCGGUCGUCCCCUCACGGGGUCUGUACUUGGACGUCUUUGGGCAUCCUUGGCGAGAGCGUGUUGGGCAUUAAGUUGUCCGGCGUGGGAUCGCCAUCAUUUACUGUGAAAAAUUAGAGUGUUUAAAGCAGGCGUUUGCUGUGAAUACAUUAGCAUGGAAUAAUGAUAUAGGACUUUGGUUCUAUUUUGUUGGUUGUUCGAGAACCGAAGUAAUGAUUGAUAGGGACAGUUGGGGGCAUCAGUAUUCUGAAGCGAGAGGUGAAAUUCUUGGACCUUCGGAAGACUAACAGCUGCGAAAGCGUUUGCCUAGGAUGUUCUCUUUAAUCAAGAACGAAAGUUGGGGGAUCGAAGACGAUCAGAUACC
rnacentral:rRNA from 1 species